GUUACUUCCUGGACAACCUUUCACACUCGCAAUAGCAUCACUCCCCUGGACACGGAUCUCCAUUUGCUCCUCAACAGCUCACUCUUUUUUAUCCAUUCGUGCAUUACUCCACCUGCAAACAAUGCCUGUAGAGGCUACGCCUACACUUGAAGCCACUGAAGGGUUUGAUGGCAGGGGUGAGGCAAUGUAACUGUUAUGAAUUAAACUUGUAACAGCCCAACUCAAUCUAUACUUGUCUUGUACGGUUAAGAUUGUUUUUGUAUUCAUCAGUUUUAUUUGCUUCUCUUUAUUCAAUGUCAUUUAUCAUAACAGCGCAGAGUUUACAAACUGCUUGUUCUGACCAAAAACACCUGGCUUGAGUUACGUUUAUCUUCAAUACAUUUCCAUAAACACACCAUACGUAAAAACACAAAAGGUGACCCGUAGCGGCACACAUAAGGUAACAAUACAAAAAUGGGUCCCACAGUGCCGCUCCACCAUCAACUCUCACACCACUGUUUCACUUGCCAAGCUCCGGCAGCCACAGAUCAUGUUACUGUUCCCUCUAGUAUGAACUACCGUAGUCCAUGUUCAUAGCAUUUUGCUCCUAGUUGUAGAACUCAAAGUUAACAUUCACGCAUUCUAGCCUUGUUUUUAAUUUUACCUUUUGCGUCACAUACACAUACUUGUCUGUUUUUUCUAUUUUAUUACUAUAUUUCUAUUUCUAUUGUACAGCACUUUGGUCUACCAGGUGUGUUUUUAAAGUGCUAUAUAAAUGAUGAUGAUGAUGAUGGUUAUGAUGUAAAGAACGUUUUCUGUUAACUUCACUCUGAGCCUGCGCUCGAAUCUGCUCCUGAGUACACUUCAUGUUUCUUGUUGUUUAAGGAAGAGAGUUCGAUUACAGUGAUACGAUAGUUGUAGGACAUACCCUGCUUGCUGGUGUUUUUUCGUGGACAAACUUGGACUGUAUUAGAAAUCUAAACAUUACUGUGAUCCUACAAAGACAAAAAUUUAAAUUAUUACUUUCAACAGGUUUAUAUAUUUAAAUAAAUCAAAAAUUCCAUGUUAGUCUUCUGAAAAUUGUGACUGAGCACUUUUGGAAACACUCUGUCACAGUAUUGAGACUGUGAACGGUUACAGAAUACAUCUGAAAUAAAUGUCAGAUUCUAACAGGUUAUAGUUCUGUUAAUAGAGCUUUUGAAUCUACUCUUCAUACAUAUUCCUGUCUUUAAUAACAGUAUGUCAACGAUGUCAACCAAUAUUUUCAUAUUUCAAACACACACCCAAGUUAAAAAUUUGAAUAUCCAUGUCUUCUACUCUGCAUAUCUGAAAAAUCAGUUUUGAUAAUGUUACAAUUCCAUUGUGAAAUGUUCCCAUCUAUGUUAUUCAUCUUUUUUUAUUUUAAAUGCUGUCAUUAGUUUUUAUUUUUUUCCAACUUAUUAAAAAAAUGAACAUGGUCUACAUUGUUUUGUUCAAUUGAAUAAAACAACAUUUUUGUAUUGUACUCUGGGUUCUUGAAGACCACGCUGUCUUUUAACUUUAUUCUUUAUUUUCUGCAUAUACUGUUCUUUACUCUUUGAGGCUGUUCUCCUGCCAUUCUGUGUUCCUAGUGCAAAGUCUGCAUUUCUGUGUCCUAUCUUUAGUUGGUUACUGCUUUAUAUUGUUGACGUCUAGUCUUUUGUGCACUUGCUUUUGCUUCCACUGGUCAUACUUGUUUGAUUCAAUUCACCUGUGUCUUGUUUCUCCCAGCUGCGUCCUCUCUCCCUAAUCAACUUGCGCAAGUAUUUAAGCCCUCAGCUUUCCUCAGCUCCUUACUCUGUUGUUCUGUUUCAAGUUGUACACUUUGUUUGUCUACCUUGUGGCUUCCUGUGCGUUAGUUUUGGAUUCUUGGAACUUUUUAAAAUAAUCAAUAUUAUUAUCUCUCUUCACUGCGGAUUUGCCACACUCAUAUUUAAGAGCAUCGAUACGGGACUGAGGGACGGAGCCUGUACUCUUUUUACACACAUUGCCAUGGAAACCAGCCCC
ensembl:lncRNA